AGAGAGAGAGAGAGAGAGAGAUGUGAAAACAAUCAAAGCUCGAAAAUUUUGAAUGCGAGUGUGGUGUGGCAUUGUUUGUAUAAUAUUCUAACAUAUUAUUUUUAGUUUAAUUUUGCAUGUUUGAGAGGAAUUUCUGGGGUUUUCCAUUUUGCACUUUCACUUUUCCAGUCUAUGAUUAAAUCAGUUUUUGCUUUUCGUUUUUCAAUAUUUAAAAUUGUGAUUUUUUUUUUUU
rnacentral:misc_RNA from 1 species